CUCGUAGGCGGUUCGUCGCGUCCGGUGUGAAAGUCCAUCGCUUAACGGUGGAUCUGCGCCGGGUACGGGCGGGCUGGAGUGCGGUAGGGGAGACUGGAAUUCCCGGUGUAACGGUGGAAUGUGUAGAUAUCGGGAAGAACACCAAUGGCGAAGGCAGGUCUCUGGCCGUUACUGACGCUGAGGAGCGAAAGCGUGGGGAGCGAACA
rnacentral:rRNA from 1 species